rnacentral:misc_RNA from 1 species
GCCUUGGACAUCAUCAAACUCAGAUAGGUUUGACUUGCAGUCCUUGUGACGAAGCAAGUUCUUUGGGGACAUUACAAUGAGAGGUUUACGGAAGUCUCUAUGAAUCUGACGCCGGAGAACAUGGAAAUAAUUUGCAGGAGUUGUCACAUUCACCACCUGCAAGUUACAUUCCUGAAUCUGUUUCCUUAAUGUAGGUUCCAUGUCCGGAAUGACAUAGGG